rnacentral:rRNA from 1 species
AGAGUUUGAUCCUGGCUCAGGAUGAACGCUAGCGGCAGGCCUAACACAUGCAAGUCGAGGGGUAACGAUGGCUUCGGCCAGGCGACGACCGGCGCACGGGUGAGUAUCGCGUUUGUAACCUACCUCUAACUGGAGAAUAGCCCGAAGAAAUUCGGAUUAAUACUCCAUAAUACUAUGAUCUGGCAUCUUUUUAUAGUUAAAGCUCCGGCGGUUAGAGAUGGGCAUGCGUGACAUUAGUUUGUUGGUGAGGUAAGAGCUCACCAAGGCUACGAUGUCUAGGGGGUCUGAGAGGAUGGUCCCCCACACUGGUACUGAGACACGGACCAGACUCCUACGGGAGGCAGCAGUGAGGAAUAUUGGUCAAUGGGCGCAAGCCUGAACCAGCCAUGCCGCGUGAAGGAUGACGGCGCUAUGCGUUGUAAACUUCUUUUGUACAGGAAGAAACACUUCUACGUGUAGAAGCUUGACGGUACUGUACGAAUAAGCAUCGGCCAACUCCGUGCCAGCAGCCGCGGUAAUACGGAGGAUGCAAGCGUUAUCCGGAUUUAUUGGGUUUAAGGGUACGUAGGCGGAAAAUUAAGUCAGUGGUGAAAUCCUGCAGCUUAACUGUAAAACUGUCAUUGAUACUGGUUUUCCUGAAUAUAGUUGAGGUAGGCGGAAUGUGUAAUGUAGCGGUGAAAUGCUUAAAUAUUACACARAACCCGGAUNGNGAAGGGCNNUUUACUAAGCUAUGAUNGACGCCUNAGNNCNAAAAGCSUGGGGAGCGAACAGAAUUAGAUACCCUGGUAGUCCACGCGUUAAACGAUGAUCACUCGUUGUGGGCAAUACAUCGUCAGNGACUGAGCGAAAGCAUUAAGUGAUCCACNUGGGGAGUACGAUCGCAAGAUUGAAACUCAAAGGAAUUGACGGGGGCCCGCACAAGCGGAGGAACAUGUGGUUUAAUUCGAUGAUACGCGAGGAACCUUACCUGGGCUUAAAUGUAAAACGACGGAUCGGGAAACUGAUCUUUCUUCGGACGCUUUGCAAGGUGCUGCAUGGCUGUCGUCAGCUCGUGCCGUGAGGUGUCGGGUUAAGUCCCAUAACGAGCGCAACCCUCAUCAUUAGUUGCCAGCGGGUAAUGCCGGGGACUCUAAUGAAACUGCCGGUGUAAACCGGAGGAAGGUGGGGAUGACGUCAAGUCAGCACGGCCCUUAUGUCCAGGGCUACACACGUGUUACAAUGGUCGGUACAAAGGGCAGCUACCUGGUGACAGGAUGCUAAUCUCCAAAACCGAUCUCAGUUCGGAUCGAAGUCUGCAACUCGACUUCGUGAAGCUGGAUUCGCUAGUAAUCGCGCAUCAGCCACGGCGCGGUGAAUACGUUCCCGGGCCUUGUACACACCGCCCGUCAAGCCAUGGAAGCUGGGGGUACCUGAAGUCCGUAACCGCAAGGAGCGGCCUAGGGUAAAACUAGUAACUGGGGCUAAGUCGUAACAAGGUA